GUGGAAAGUUUGUCGGAUGAAGCAGCCAUUGAAUGGCGGUUUCUUAUUGCUUCUAACGCUGAUGUCAAGAAAGUCUUCUUGUGCUGGAUACUGAGAGUUUGAUUGAAGUUCUAUGUAUGGAUCAAUGCUGGACCAUUAUGAAAAAUGAGAUUGGAAUUUGUUGCAUUCUCGAUGUUCUUCGAAUAAGGAACUCAAACACGAACGGAAAUCGAAAACCAACAACACGCGG